rnacentral:rRNA from 1 species
CAUGCAAGUCGAGCGGUAACAGACAUAAAGAUUCAGCUUGCUGAAUCCGGUGCUGACGAGCGGCGAACGGGUGAGUAACGCGUAGGAAUCUACCCAGUAGCGGGGGAUAGCCCGGGGAAACCCGGAUUAAUACCGCAUACGCCCUAAGGGGGAAAGGGGGCAGCUUGCUGCUCUUACUAUUGGAUGAGCCUGCGUAAGAUUAGCUUGUUGGUAGGGUAAUGGCCUACCAAGGCAACGAUCUUUAGCUGGUCUGAGAGGACGAUCAGCCACAUUGGGACUGAGACACGGCCCAGACAUCUACGGAUGGCAGCAGUUAAGAAUAUUGGACAAUGGGGGCAACCCUGAUCCAGGUAUACCGCGUGUGUGAAGAAGGCCCUAGGGUUGUAAAGCACUUUAAUCAGAGAAGAAGCAUUUUAAGUUAAUACCUUAUUAUGUUGACGUUACCUGAAGAAUAAGGACCGGCUAACUCCGUGCCAGCAGCCGCGGUAAUACGGAGGGUCCAAGCGUUAAUCGGAAUUACUGGGCGUAAAGCGCGCGUAGGCGGUUUAGCAAGUUGAAUGUGAAAGCCCUAGGCUCAACCUAGGAACUGCAUUCAAAACUACUGAGCUAGAGUACGAGAGAGGAGAGUAGAAUUUCUGGUGUAGCGGUGAAAUGCGUAGAUAUCAGAAGGAAUACCAAUGGCGAAGGCAGCUCUCUGGCUCGUCACUGACGCUAAGGUGCGAAAGCGUGGGUAGCAAACAGGAUUAGAUACCCUGGUAGUCCACGCCGUAAACGAUGAGAACUAGCCGUUGGACAGAUUUAACUGUUCAG